rnacentral:tRNA from 1 species
UCCCUGGUGGUUCAGUGGUUAGGACUCAGCACUUUCACCACUGCAGUCCAGGUUCAAUCUCUGGUCUGGGAA